UAGAAGAUCUAAUGAUGAGGGAGG
rnacentral:piRNA from 1 species